rnacentral:tRNA from 1 species
CUAGGUGUGCCAGAAUUAUAUGGAUAAGUUUUAGGUACUUAAAAUGAGUUUUCCUCCUAGU